AGUGAACGCUGGCGGUAUGCCUAACACAUGCAAGUCGAACGGCAGCACAGUAAGAUCGUGCUCUUACCGGUGGCGACUGGCGGACGGGUGACGAGUACAUCACCAUCUACUUUUUCUGGGAGGACUACGGAAGGCAGGUUCUGAUACUACCUCAUAUGUUCUACCGCUUAAAUCAGGAGAUCUUCACGCCUUUCGCGUCUGAAUUAGACGAUGUCGCAUUAGCUAGUUGGCUGGGUAAAGGCCCACCAAGGCGACGAUCCGUAGCUGAUCUGAGAGGAUGAUCGGCCACACUGGAACUGAGACACGGUCCAGACUCCUACGGGAGGCAGCAGUAGGGAAUCUUGGGCAAUGGGCGAAAGCCUGACCCAGCCAUGCCGCGUGGGUGAAGAAGGCCUUCGGGUUGUAAAGCCCUUUUAUUGGGAAAGAAAAGCUGUAGGAUAAUCCAUCGCUGUUCUGACGGUACCCAAAGAAUAAGCAACGGCUAACUUCGUG
rnacentral:rRNA from 1 species